rnacentral:rRNA from 1 species
GCUCUUGACAUUCGGGGUAUGGGCAUUGGAGACGAUGUCCUUCAGUUAGGCUGGCCCCAGAACAGGUGCUGCAUGGCUGUCGUCAGCUCGUGUCGUGAGAUGUUGGGUUAAGUCCCGCAACGAGCGCAACCCUCGCCCUUAGUUGCCAGCAUUGAGUUGGGCACUCUAAGGGGACUGCCGGUGAUAAGCCGAGAGGAAGGUGGGGAUGACGUCAAGUCCUCAUGGCCCUUACGGGCUGGGCUACACACGUGCUACAAUGGUGGUGACAGUGGGCAGCGAGACAGCGAUGUCGAGCUAAUCUCCAAAAGCCAUCUCAGUUCGGAUUGCACUCUGCAACUCGAGUGCAUGAAGUUGGAAUCGCUAGUAAUCGC